UACGGGGGAUGCAAGCGUUGUCCGGAAUCAUUGGGCGUAAAGAGUUCGUAGGUGGUUUGUUAAGUUUGGUGUUAAAUACCGAGGCUCAACUUCGGCAAGGCACUGGAUACUGGCAGACUAGAAUGCGGCAGAGGUAAAGGGAAUUCCUGGUGUAGCGGUGAAAUGCGUAGAUAUCAGGAGGAACAUCGGAGGCGAAAGCGCUUUACUGGACCGUAAUUGACACUGAGGAACGAAAGCCGGGGUAGCAAAU
rnacentral:rRNA from 1 species